rnacentral:rRNA from 1 species
CCUACGGGAGGCAGCAGUGGGGAAUAUUGGACAAUGGGGGAAACCCUGAUCCAGCAAUGCCGCGUGAGUGAUGAAGGCCUUAGGGUUGUAAAGCUCUUUUACCCGGGAAGAUAAUGACUGUACCGGGAGAAUAAGCCCCGGCUAACUCCGUGCCAGCAGCCGCGGUAAU